UUCCUACGGGGGGCAGCAGUGGGGAAUAUUGCACAAUGGGGGAAACCCUGAUGCAGCGACGCCGCGUGAGUGAAGAAGUAAUUCGUUAUGUAAAGCUCUAUCAGCAGGGAAGAAAAUGACGGUACCUGAGUAAGAAGCCCCGGCUAACUACGUGCCAGCAGCCGCGGUAAUACGUAGGGGGCAAGCGUUAUCCGGAUUUACUGGGUGUAAAGGGAGCGUAGACGGCGAUGCAAGCCAGAUGUGAAAGCCCGGGGCUCAACCCCGGGACUGCAUUUGGAACUGUGUGGCUGGAGUGUCGGAGAGGG
rnacentral:rRNA from 1 species